UACAGAGGGGGCAAGCGUUAUUCGGAAUUAUUGGGCGUAAAGGGCGCGUAGGCGGCUUGGCAAGUGGAAGGUGAAAUCCCUCGGCUUAACCGAGGAACUGCCCUCCAAACUGCUUCGCUUGAGUCCGGGAGAGGUGAGUGGAAUUCCCAGUGUAGCGGUGAAAUGCGUAGAUAUUGGGAGGAACACCAGUGGCGAAGGCGGCUCACUGGACCGGUACUGACGCUGAUGCGCGAAAGCGUGGGUAGCAAACAGG
rnacentral:rRNA from 1 species